rnacentral:tRNA from 1 species
GGGGCCUUAGCUCAUCGGGAGAGCGCCGGUUCGGCAGACCGGAUAGACGGGUUCGACACCCGUAGGCUCCA